rnacentral:rRNA from 1 species
CCGCGUGAAGGAUGAAGGCCUCUGGGCUGUAAACCUCUUUUCUCAAGGAAGAAGAUCUGACGGUACUUGAGGAAUAAGCCACGGCUAAUUCCGUGCCAGCAGCCGCGGUAAUACGGGAGUGGCAAGCGUUAUCCGGAAUUAUUGGGCGUAAAGCGUCCGCAGGCGGCCCUUCAAGUCUGCUGUUAAAAAGUGGAGCUUAACUCCAUCGUGGCAGUGGAAACUGUUGGGCUAGAGUGUGGUAGGGGCAGAGGGAAUUCCCGGUGUAGCGGUGAAAUGCGUAGAUAUCGGGAAGAACACCAGUGGCGAAGGCGCUCUGCUGGGCCAUAACUGACGCUCAUGGACGAAAG